ensembl:lncRNA
CCGGCUGAAAGAUGGGAUGCUAAUUCAGUACUGGGUGACGAGCAGAACCAGAGUGAUCCAGAUCCGCCACACUGAAGUUCAGAACGAGGCUCUUCGUCUUCAGCGGCUUGUGCUGCUCUGCUGUUUUCAUGGGAAUCCGUCACCGUGGAGAUGUGGAGGUAAUCGCUCUCUACCGGAGCCGGGGGAGACAGCAGCACAUCCCACAGGACUAAAUCCAUCGUCAGAUUCACACCGGUUCACUCUUCGUGAUGAGCUAAUCAGAGACACUGUCAC